GUAGGAACUUAUUUUCAUUGAUGAUCUUCUGUUCGCUUGGUUGGCAUUGAAGGACGAUACAUUUCAAUCAAAAGAGUGCAUGGCAAGGCUGAUGUUGUUAGUUUCCAAGUUGAUGCAUCUAUGGAUUUAGUACUUCAGGUUGAAGGUAGCAACAAGAAGGGGAAAAAUAUCACUCAAGGGUGUGUUAAGGUAACAAUACCCUCCUAAUGUCUUUGUUGUAAGUUGGUUAUGUGUUCAACUUUGGAAAGAUGAAAUUUGUUAAUGGAAAAGGAGGCUGCCAAGGUAAAGAGCAGCACACCCUCAUAGGCUGCCAAAUGCCAAGAGUCAACAACAACAAAAAAAAUAAACAAGGAAAAGAGACAAACAAAUAUCUCCACUGAAAUGAUGAUACCAUUACUCUUUUCUAGUAAUACGAGAAAGACAAUAUAUACAUGUUAAACUACAUUGACAAUUCAGAUUUGAUCUUUUUACUUUAAACAAGAA